AGGGAGAGGAGGAAAAGGGGAGAAGGGAUGACUGAGAAGGAGGGGGAAUAAGAAGCAACAGGGGAACAAACACAGGCGCUGGAAGAAUAAAAAGGAGCAACAAAAUAAGGUGGAAUUCUGGGAUUUUCCAAAAUUACAUCACAUUUAUCACUUUUCUAGUGGUGUGGUCCAGCAGCUGCAGGGAUGUGGAUGGAUACCAAAACGGAGGUGAAGGAGGCCAGCAGGAACCGUGCCAGCCUGAGUCGGCGUGUGUUGAACGGUCUGCUGUUGUGUACUGGGGACAUGGAGUACUUGGAUAAGUACAUGCAAGACAAGCUUUUUUUGCUGCAGCUGGCGGUUUGGGGCCUGAGAGGGGUGACCCAGGUGAUCCUAGCCAACAACCCGCUGAGUGGUGCUCUCAUUAUGGGCGCACUGUACUGGGCCUCCCCCUGGCAGGGCCUGCUGGGAACUCUGGGCGUACUGGCCUCUACACUAACAGCUGUUAUAAUGGGGCAAGACAGUGCUGAGGUGUCAAGAGGUCUCCAUGGUUUUAAUGGCAUGUUGGUGUCUCUGCUGAUGGGUGUGUUCAGCUCAGCUGGAGACUGGUACUGGUGGCUGCUGCUGCCUGUCUGCUUGGGGUCAGCUACAUGUGUAUUCCUGUUCAGCGGUCUCUCCUCAGUGUUGGACCGCUGGGACUUGCCUGUUGCUGUGUUUCCCUUCAACAUCGUCAUUGUCCUCUACCUCCUUUGUACCGGCCCAGACAACCCUUACUUCCCACACCACCCGGCUACACCACCGGGGGCGCUGGAGCUCAAUGAUACUAAGCUCAUUGCAGUAGAGGUAUUGCGUGGCAUCCCUCUGGGUGUGGGUCAGAUCUUUGCCUGUGGAGCCCUGGGGCCCUCCCUCCUCAUCCUGGGAGCCGUUCUGCUCUACUCCCCCCUGCUGGCAGCUCAUGCUCUGCUUGGCUCGGCAAUUGGAACAUUGGCUGGGUUGUCCAUGGCAGUGCGUCAUGAGUCACUGUACUCAGGUCUGUCGGGGUUUAACGGAGCUCUGGGCUGUAUGGCUGUUGGAGGGCUUUUCUUCACCUUCAGCUGGAGGACUCACCUCUUUGCCAUCGCCAGUGGUGACACAUACACACACACACACGCACAUUUGCUAUCUAUUGUCUAUAAUUUAAUGUUUAGCUGUGUACACUGGUGUAAGUUUAAGAAUGGACAACACAUUGCUGUUUCCUGUAUCAAACCUAUGUUUCACUCAGGAUUUGUGCAGUAUUACUUUUGGUUAUGGCAUGUUGUACAAUAUAGUUGUCACACAUUUGUAAGAAGAAUCCUUCAUCCUUUUAGAAUAACUGAGAGACACUGCAUUUAAUGCUCACUGCAAUCUUUCUUGACACCCCAUAAUUUUGUCAUACUUGAAAGUAAAACGGGCUAUCAUUUAGAACUUAUUUUAAUGUUGUGAUGUAUACUUAACAGCUUUUUAAAAUAGUUUUUGGCAGAAAAACGAGAACCUCAUGAACAUAAUUUUCCAGAUUUUGCAAUAAUAUCUGCUUUAGGUGAGGUAAACUUUUUUUUUUGCCUGUCAUUAUUCCUGUCAUCAUGGUUUUCAGCCACUUGGGGGCGACAGAAUCCAACAAGCUGCUCCAGUGUGAUCUGUCCAUGGUGCUGAAACAAAUGCAGCCUUUUUUAUGGUCUCUGUCCAUGGUGCUGAGGCAACACAAAUACAAUAUAGUGUGUAUCAAAUAGAUAAUAAUGGGACAGGACUGCUCAAGCUAACACCACUUUAAAGUCCUACAAGUGUAAACCUUAGUCCUUGAAGGUUUUCUGUGACUUUUUUCCUUUUUUCUUGUUUUUAUAUAAACUUAAUGGUGGGACUCAAUGGAGUGCCCCUGGAAUGAGUCCUAAAACCUAGAAAUUAGUUUGCAUUUUACCACUUCCUGUUCCCUUGUGUCAAAGUCAGUGGGUUUUCUGAAUGGGCCCCAUUGUUAUGACUGCUGUCUGUAGAACUAAGAAACUCAUACCAAAACACAUUUCUGGAGACAAUCUCCAAUUACAUUAUUUUUCCAGCCAAUUAAACAAGGCUCUUUUUCUUGGUCCCUAAACCGUAGAACCCAGAUGGGGUUACAUGGGACUCUGACAGUGUCACCUGCUUGUGUCAGGCAUCAUGUUGUCAGUUUAUGUGAUUUGUCUGAGCCCUAUGAGUCAUCUCAAUGUAAGGCACUGCUGGUCUUAAUUCAAAACCUAAUUGCUCUGCUGAAUCAUUCCCUUGCUGAAUCAUGCCUUCGUAGGGAGGUAAGGAGUUUCAUCUUGUAAAUCAGGAGGCAUUAAUGACUACAGACAGUCAAAAAAAAAAUGAGCUUGAGCUUAAAAUACUUAAAUGCAGCGUAUUAGCUUUAUCAGACUGCUUCACCAUCAUGCAUUUCCUUCAUGUUCAUUUGUAAUUUCUCCACGUUUGUCUGCCCCAAAUGGCUGUAACUGUUUAAUAAUUCCUGUCAUUUUGUCACUCUAAAGCUUGCUAUAAUUGAUCCAUUUCUAAUAGGCGUUCCUGUCUCCCUCAGCUCUGAUUCAUGAAUACAGAUAAACUGACAAAAUUAAAGCCAUUUCACAACACGUGUAAAAUUGCAGCUGGAGCGCCAGGAGCAUUAGUGCUGAUCUGUUUGGCCGGGAGUUAAUCUACUCCCAUUAGGUAAAUUGGUCCUAAUUGAAGCUUCCAGUCUGUCUCCUGUCAGGACCGACUGCAGCUAACCUCUGUAUCCACUACUGUAUAUACGUCAGCAGCAGCAACAGAGUGAGUGUGUUGAGGAUAUAUUUAGCCUAAUUUCUUCUCCUCUGCACGCAGCCUUCCUCUCUGCAUAUGCUGACAUCGCUCUGAGCAAUCUGCUGGGAACUGUUGGUCUCCCAGCAUGCAGUUGGGCAGCUACUCUGACAGCCACACUGAUGUUGCUGCAGACUGGCAGUAUAGCAGAGUAUCGCAUCCC